UACGUAGGGGGCAAGCGUUGUCCGGAUUUAUUGGGCGUAAAGAGCGUGUAGGCGGCUGGGUAGGUCCGUUGUGAAAACUCGAGGCUCAACCUCGAGACGCCGAUGGAAACCCUCCAGCUAGAGUCCGGAAGAGGAGAGUGGAAUUCCUGGUGUAGCGGUGAAAUGCGCAGAUAUCGGGAGGAACACCAAUGGCGAAGGCAGCUCGCUGGGACGGUACUGACGCUGAGACGCGAAAGCGUGGGGAGCAAACAGG
rnacentral:rRNA from 1 species